UUAUCCUGUGAAACAAGAGCAGAGACAGCAGAGGGAUUAUCAGUCUUCAGGGAACCGCUGUGCAGUAAAUUAAAAACGUCUGCUGAGGUUCAGCCUGACCUUCCUGCGCGGCUGGGGCCGCUUCGGGGGUACCACAGGAGCAUAACCCAGAUACCUGCUGCCAAAUCCGGUGGGAGCGGGGAGGGGCUGCGCGGCCCAGGGGAUGCUCUGAAUGUACGAGUCUGGAUGAGACGUCCCCAGUCUUCCUCUGGGUUAGUCUCUUUGACAGCCCUGUGCUAUUAGUGACGGCAGACAAAUCUCUCUCCUGUUUUGAAAUAUUACCCUCUCAGUACGGACACCUUCCCGUGCACGAGCGAGCCUUCACAGCCAAGACACUGGUGGGCUUUAAAGUCAUUACUUCUCUUAGUAAUUAGACCUAGUGAUUAGCAUCUCUCUCAUUUCACCCUCUUUUCCGUGCACCAGUCAAGGGCUGGUCGGAGAUUUAGCAGGCCCUGCGCUGGCGUGACUGCCGAGUCGGGGCUCAGGAGCGCGCCGCUGCGUGCGCUGCCUUUGACUCCGCCAUCAGAGCAAGGGGAUGCAGCGCCAGAUUUCCCUCCGUGUGUCACUGACACGCGAGAGGAUUAAGGCGGAUCGCCGGCGGUCCCGCUCAAAGGCCCCCCGUCUGCCCCGCAUGUCCCAGCCUGACAGAGCCUGGCUGGACGUGGGACGUCACUGGUAUGACUUUCGCAGCCAAGCCAACAACAGUCCAGUGUAGGGACCUACCGGUUAAAGCUCAGGCCAUGGGGCGGAUGUGCGUGAAGUCCCUGAAGAGUGCAGCUGAGUGUAGCUGCUGAAGUCUGGCAACUUGGCCCCUCUGCCUUCAGCUGAGAUUGGCCCUGUGCAUCCUCAGCUUGGGUUGGAAGACAUCAUUUUGUUGGGUCUCUCCUGGGGCAGGUCCAGAGUUCCCAGAGACAGCUUUGUUCUUAGUGGACCACUCAGACAGACUCGUGAAAUACCACAGGCAAACUCAGGCGUGCCUUGUGCGGACCAUCUGCUAGACAUCAUUAUAUCAGAUUUUCUGACUUAGCUUUUUUUAAAUAGAUAUAUAUAUCUCAGCUGUCCCACCAUACACUGUAAGGCCAGAAAAAAGACUAGUUAAGAUAAUGAGACAUCUUCUACCUAGCACAGGCCAUUGGACAUCCCUGAAUUAAUUCCCGUUUGAAUUAGAACUAAGAAAUCCUAAUCCUGUCCAGAUUUGCCACUGGUAGAAAAAUUAUCACUGGAACCCUUGAUGAGCUUAAAUAUGUAAAGAUAGUCUGUGGUGGAGAUUCCUGCUGGAGUGGUUUAAGAUACGCUCUGCAGUCUAUCUGUUCCUUCUCAACAGCGGCGCUGGCAGAAAGGCAGACGUGCCUGUGCCCCUUGCAGGGCAGACCACAAGGUGGUACAUUUAUCGGCUUUUCCUCCGGGCUUUACUGUAAGAGGGUGAACGCAGGUGGCUGAGGUAUGGGCACGUGCUCCCCUCUGCCAGCUCUGCAGUUCCAGCAACUGCAGGCUGCAAAGGCUGCUCCGUUCUCCCUGCUUGGAGUGGCAACGGCUUGCCUGUCCGAGCCCUAAAUUAUGUUUAGACUUGUUAAGCUGCAAUAAGUAGCCAUAAGGAAGCACAGGUGGUCCGGUGACGAGCUCUGGUCUGUGACUCUCAAUGCAUUAACAGCUCCUAAGAGUUCCUUCUCUCCUCAAGUCACCCUGGCAAACCGAGGAAGAGACAGAAGCUCUUGCAAAGUGCCACAGAGAUUUAGGAAGAGCGAGCCUCCGUCUCCAGACAGGAGGUGUAUGCCAAUUCUUUUGGGUGUCAGUGAAAGCAUCUGCUUUGACAGCGGUCACCGACUUUGACAGAAGCCUACGCAACUUUGCCAUUGAAGUCAUGCUGUUGCUGUCACAAGCGCCACGUUACCUAAGCCCUGCCAAAGCACGCUGGUCAGGCCGGCCUCGAAGGUGCCAAGAGUUCCUGCUCCAACCACGGCGUGCUGCCAAGUCACCUGCCCUCUGCCAGUAUUUUCCCAUGCUGUGCCAUGGCUAAGGCUUUCCAUCGCUUCAGAAGUAUGACGAUAACUGCAUCGAGUCCUGGACUGAGCCGUACCGCUCCCUAAUUCCGCACGAGGACUAAGCCCUCCGCUUCGGUGGUAUGCGGUGCUGAGAUGUGCUCUGGCACCCUGAAACGCCCGUAGCACGAUGGUGGGCUCCGGAAGGCGGUGUGGGCUGCAGGAAGGACCGGCGCGGCCGACGCUGUUCAAGUCAAGCCCUCGAGACCUCAGCCUGCCAACCCUAGGCCCGCUUCCAAGGCAUAACAGCAGCUGGUAUAUUCUUGUCUCUUGAACCCUGAGGGAACUGGUAUGUUCUUCGGUAGCUCCGUAACUGCGCUGAGGAGCGUUGGUUUCUGCUUGCACCGCUUCCUGCACCAACCUUUAGCACUGGUUUGCAUCAGAAGGCUGACCUCUUGUGACCUCCUCGGUCCUGCAGCACACAGGCCCUGCCUGCCCCACUCCUGUUUACGUCAGCCAGAGCUGCGAGGUCAGAUCCCCGGAGCUGCUCUGGAAGUCUACCCCCAGCUGCAUUUUCUCUAAAGAUGUUAAGAUUAAUUUUCUCAGGAGAAUUCAGGGAAAAGCUUCUGUGGUUUUUGUGUAUCGUUUACUUCUCCGGGACUCAUUGGACAUUCUCCAGGGAUUCCAGUCCUGCACUUUGGGUAAAUAUUUAUUCCUUGUUAUUUGAAGCAAAGGAUGAAAGCCCCACCACACUCUCUGCACAGCAUCUCCAACUGGUUUGAAGGUGAUGGAGACUUUUUAGUGCCAUAAAUAGACAUUAGCAGUGGAAGCUGUGAAACCCACAUGGUGGCUGCUUGCUGCACGGAGCUGCUGCUCUGCAGAAAUCGAUGAGCAGCAUCUGCAGUGGGGAGCAAAAUCCGCGCACUAACGUGUGUGGGACGUGGGCCCCGCAAAGCCCAGGAGCAGGGCAGGUGGGGAGCAUGUUGUUAUCACUGGUUACUGAUGCCUGCCGCUGCUACAGGUAUCUGCCGUGCUUUGGGAUGCUGAGAUCCGUGACCGGAGGGCACAGCCCUGGCAUCAGGUGAAGUGACCUGGUACAGGAUUUUCUACUUGAUGGAAAUUCCACAAUAUAAACUUUUCAAUGGAAGGAUGUUUCUACAUUCCUUUUGGGGUUGACAGGUUGUAGUUUGCAAAAUCAUAUAUCUGUUUCAACGCUGAUUUUCCAAAAAUUGUACCAUAUCAAAAUGGAAUCAUCAGUAUUUAAAAACAUAACAUUAAAAUUUUCUGCUUUGAAGAGGGUUAACGAGGGCUCCGGUUUGGGUUUUAUGAAAUACGGACCGUUGAAGCAGACAUAUUUCUGGUAGAUGCAUAGCACUUGUCAAAUCGGUAUUUUUCACAGGAAGGAAAAAAAAACUCACUGGGAAGUUACCUGCUACCUCCUGGCAGGAAAUUAUGGGCCAGCCUCGAUAAUCCAUGGUGGUGCAUCCCUCCAGCUGCUUCUCCUUACGGUCGUAUCUUGUCUGGGUGCCAGUUACAAUAAUCAUCCUCCUUUUUUGCUACAAACUUUCUGUCCUCCAAGGCAGUAGUCAUUCAGACUCCGUAUGAUUUGUGUUUUCAGCACAGACUCCUCUCAUGCUUCCUGCCAGGCACUUCAGGACAUUCCCUGGUAUAACGCCCGCGGCUUACAUGGACACAGAACACAGCCGAGGUUUCCAGCUGGCCUGGACUUACCAGGGCAGAGCUGCUCGGUUCCUCCUGGAGGCUUGCAUAGCAACACCCCAUUUACCUUGCCACAUGAAGUCCUUCAUCUACAGGGAACUUGUGUUACCAUUGUUCACACACCACAGGGUGAAAACCACCCGCUCCUUCCCCUGCUGCAGUGGGAUAACCUUGUAAUCGUGUUGGCCUGACGUCAGAUCAAUGCAAUUAGGCUCGGACGCCUGCAAUUCAGCGUAAGCAUCGACUGUUAAAAAUGAUACGUGAGCCACCAGCCCACAGCCUCUUAACUGGAUUAUCAGCCAUUCACACAGGGCUACCUGUUCUGUGAAGAUUAUACCCAAGUGGUGAGGGGAAGCAAAUAAGUGAGGUGGUUUGGGCACCUGAAUUCAUGGUACUAGCCACAAAAGGAAUAAAUAAACUUUUAAUUUUGCAUUCUAAC